rnacentral:rRNA from 1 species
GACGAACGCUGGCGGCGUGCUUAACACAUGCAAGUCGAGCGGUAAGGCCCCUUCGGGGGUACACGAGCGGCGAACGGGUGAGUAACACGUGGGUGACCUGCCCUCAGCUCUGGGAUAAGCCUGGGAAACUGGGUCUAAUACCGGAUAUGACUCCAUGACGCAUGUCGUGGGGUGGAAAGCCUUGUGCGGCUGGGGGAUGGGGCCCCGCGGCCUA